rnacentral:misc_RNA from 1 species
AAAUUACACUGAUUUCUUAGAAGUUUGAUUCUUCGAUUCUAUAGAGUACGUAUACGAGAGCACAAUUUGAAGCAAUGGGUCUUAAACCAGACCAGUUCGUUAAAGGCGUCGAUGAAAACCUUUUCUGUGCAAUAUGCCAUGAAGUAUUUCAAGAUCCUGUGAGCUGCAAAGAUGGUCACACAUUCUGCAAGGACUGCAUUCACGAAUGGCUCAAGACGAACGAGAAAUGUCCCAUGGACAAUGGUUUCUUGACGAAGGAACAUCUUGUCCGUGUUUUAAUGGCCAGUGGAAUCAUAGACAAUCUCGAAGUCUACUGUCAUCCACGUACAACACAACACAAGCCAAGCGAAGGAUGUGACUGGGUUGGCAAACUACAACAUCUUACGCAGCACAGAAAGACUUGUCCUUUCCAGGAGGUCCAGUGUUCUCAUGUAGGAUGCAACCAAACAAUGUUGAGAAGAGAACUGGAGCACCACGAAGAGAUAUGUGACUUCAGAAAAGUGGAGUGCGAAAUAUGUGGUGUGGCAAUACUUCAACACGAAAAAGAUAAGCACACAAGAGACGACUGUUUACAGGCCCUGAUAUGUUGCCCUAACCGAUGCAGCGAUAAGCUGCAGCAACUCCUAAUUGUUAAGGUUAAAAGGAUCAAUAUGCCUGAUCAUCUGUCUAACGUCUGUCCAAAGGCUCAAGUCGACUGUCCAUACAAAGAGCAAGGAUGUGAAGUGAAUGUUGAGCGCCAAGAUGUCGAGAAACACGUACAAGAAAACAUGGCAGAACACAUGAUGUUACUUGCUAAGGAAUGCUCGUCGCUAAAGAAACAAUGUUCUUUCCUUUCCUUGAGGUGUUCCACGUUCGCCCAAGAGAACUUAGAGUUGAAGAAUGAGUUACAACAAAUGAAGGACGAAUUCCAUAAUCAACUCUUAGGAAACAGUAGCUACACCUGGGUUGUACGUGACUAUCCUAACCUGGCCAAGAAUCCCCCCAAUGGACCUUCUAUCAAAAGUCCACCUUUCUGGUUACGUGGGAAUAAAUGGUGCAUUAGUUUGUACCCAAAUGGAAACACUAAAGAUGAAACAGGGUUCGUAUCACUGUUUCUGAAGAAGAUUGAAGAAGAUUCACAGUCAUUAAGUAACACCAUGCCCAUUACAUCCCACAAUGAAACAGAAAUUCCUUACAGACUGACUGUGAUUAGCCAAAAGCCUGAUACUGAUGAUGUCUCUCGUGAAUCAAAAAGCAUAUUUACUGAACCGAAAAACACAUGGGGAUGGACGAAAUUCAUGAAAUCAUCUGAUGCGUUUUCGCCGUCUUAUUGUAACAAUGGCAGAUUAAUCAUCCAGUGUACAAUACUCCCAAAUAAACCAGAAUAGGUUCCAUGUCACACAGAUGAUGUACUUUCUACAGCCUACUGUAACAGUACCAAUGGUAAUCUAACCAUCCAAUGUACAAUACAGCCAGAUAAACCACAAUAGGUUCUAUGUUACACAGAUG